CCUACGGGAGGCAGCAGUGAGGAAUAUUGGUCAAUGGGCUUAAGCCUGAACCAGCCAAGUCGCGUGAGGGAAGACGGCCCUAUGGGUUGUAAACCUCUUUUGUCGGGGAGCAAAGCCGGGGACGUGUCCCGGCCCGGAGAGUACCCGAAGAAAAAGCAUCGGCUAACUCCGUGCCAGCAGCCGCGGUAAUACGGAGGAUGCGAGCGUUAUCCGGAUUUAUUGGGUUUAAAGGGUGCGUAGGCGGGCUGUUAAGUCAGCGGUAAAAUGGCGGGGCUCAACCCCGUCCCGCCGUUGAAACUGGCGGUCUUGAGUGGGCGAGAAGUACGCGGAAUGCGUGGUGUAGCGGUGAAAUGCAUAGAUAUCACGCAGAACUCCGAUUGCGAAGGCAGCAUACCGGCGCCCGACUGACGCUGAGGCACGAAAGCGUGGGGAUCGAACAGGAUUAGAUACCCUGGUAGUC
rnacentral:rRNA from 1 species